rnacentral:sRNA from 1 species
GAUGCCAGGAUCGAAAAGUCUGCAUCCACGUGAGCUUGCUCAUAGGUGGAUGCAAGACCUUGAGAUCCGCCCUGACAUGAGCAUAAAAGUGGGAUGGAAAUCCCACGAUAUGCGAAUGACAGGUAGAAUUGUGAAAGUGCGAAGCACGAAGCAAUUCGUAGGCAUC